rnacentral:piRNA from 1 species
UNGUAAUUAAGUCAGAAUGAAAGAGUGUG